UUGAACGCUGGCGGCAGGCCUAACACAUGCAAGUCGAGCGGCAGCGCGGGGGCAACUCUGGCGGCGAGCGGCGGACGGGUGAGUAACGCGUGGGAAUCUAACCAGUAGAGGGGGAUAGCCCGGGGAAACUCGGAUUAAUACCGCAUACGCCCUAAGGGGGAAAGCAGGGGAUCUUCGGACCUUGCACUAUUGGAAGAGCCCGCGUCGGAUUAGCUAGUUGGUAGGGUAAAGGCCUACCAAGGCGACGAUCCGUAACUGGUCUGAGAGGAUGAUCAGUCACACUGGAACUGAGACACGGUCCAGACUCCUACGGGAGGCAGCAGUGGGGAAUAUUGCGCAAUGGGCGAAAGCCUGACGCAGCCAUGCCGCGUGUGUGAAGAAGGCCUUAGGGUUGUAAAGCACUUUCAGUAGGGAGGAAAGGUGUAAGGUUAAUACCCUUGCGCUGUGACGUUACCUACAGAAGAAGCACCGGCUAACUCUGU
rnacentral:rRNA from 1 species